GAGUGAGGACAAGCAAGUCCUAGGUAACAAACUGAACCCUCCAAAGCAAGAACAGUAUGCAUUUCUUCCCUUAGGAGGUGCUGUGCUGCUAUUGUAACAAGAAAAAGGUUUCAGUUUUGCUUUUGCAUGUUAGUGGGUGUGUUUGGUUUGUUCUGUCCUCUUCACUAGGCCUCAAAAGUAUUAGAAGAAAAUACAGAGCAACAAAAAGGACCUGAAAGUAUAUACUUAAUUAAAAAA